GAGGUUCUUUCAGCAUAAGUUGGUCAUUGUAUUUCCUAAAGGAAUGACCUCCCUUCUUCAAGAGGUAAUCACACAUGCCCUUCUGAACUGGACAGAAAGUGGUAGCCAAAUAUCCUGUCGUCAAGCCUCCUUCAAGAUAACUCUGGCGUCAAUAGGGAGUGAAUGUGAUUCAAUCCUUAAAUACUUCAACGCUCAGUGAUCUAGUCAAUAAUAGGAGAUACCAUAUGGAAGCUGGGGAAGAGGGAAAAUGCAGGAAGAAGGAUAGAGCUGUUCAAGACAAAUGCCUCAUACUAUUUCUUCUAUACAGAGGUGCAGAGAUUCUCCAUAACUCAAUCAUUCCAAGUCAUGUGGCAGGCCUAAGAUGAGACACUAUGAUUAUGAGUUUUACAGA